rnacentral:rRNA from 1 species
GAUGAACGCUAGCGGCAGGCUUAAUACAUGCAAGUCGUGGGGCAGCAUGAGUAGCAAUACUUGAUGGCGACCGGCAAACGGGUGAGGAACACGUACACAACCUUCCUUCAAGCGGGGAAUAGCCCAGAGAAAUUUGGAUUAAUACCCCAUAAUAUAUUUGAUAAGGCAUCUUAUUAAUAUUAAAGCUUCGGCACUUGAUGAUGGGUGUGCGGCUGAUUAGAUAGUUGGCGGGUAACGGCCCACCAAGUCUACGAUCAGUAGCUGAUGUGAGAGCAUGAUCAGCCACACGGGCACUGAGACACGGGCCCGACUCCUACGGGAGGCAGCAGUAAGGAAUAUUGGACAAUGGACGAAAGUCUGAUCCAGCCAUGCCGCGUGAAGGAUUAAGGUCCUCUGGAUUGUAAACUUCUUUAUAUGGGACGAAAAAAGGGCAUUCUUGUUCACUUGACGGUACCAUAUGAAUAAGCACCGGCUAAC